rnacentral:lncRNA from 1 species
ACCUGGUUGGUGGCAUGAGCGGGUUCUACAUUUCAUCACCUGAUUGGUGGCAUGAAGGAGAGUACAGGUUUUACAUUUCAUUACCUGGUUGGUGGCAUGAGUGGCAAGUUGCCAAAUGAUAUUAGAGUACGAGUUGUACAUUUCAUCACCUGGUUGGUGGCAUGAAGAUGAGUUCCUUCUUCACCUGGUUGGUGGCAUGAGUGGCAAGUUGCCAAAUGAUAUUAGAGUACUGGUUGUACAUUUCAUCAUCUGGUUGGUGGCACGAAGAUGAGUUCCUUCUUCACCUGAUCGGUGGCAUGAGUGGCAAGUUGACAAAUGAUAUUAGAGUACGAGUUGUACAUUUCAUCACCUGGUUGGUGGCAUGAAGGAGAGUACGGGUUGUACAUUUCAUUGCCUGGUUGGUGGCAUGAAGAUGAGUUCCUUCUUCACCUGGUUGGUGGCAUGAGUGGCAAGUUGCCAAAUGAUAUUAGAGUACGGGUUAUACAUUUCAUCACCCGGUUAAUAGCACGAAGAUGAGUUCCUUCUUCACCUGGUUGGUGAGAAUAAGGGCAAGGUGUCAGGCAUAUUAUAACAAGUGUCAAAGACACAAAGUAUGUUGAACCCUUUCGAAGCACAAUUGGCUUAUGUAUGGAUGUGUUGGAAUGUAUGAUGUUUAUGUAUGGAUGUGUUGGAAUGUAUGAUGUUUAUGUAUGAAUGUGUUGGAAUGUAUAAUGUUUAUGUAUGAAUGUGUUAGAAUGUAUGAUGUUUAGGUUGAUUGAUAUGAGUGAUGCUUAUGAAUGUUUUGCUAUGCAUGAAGGUAUCCAUGCUUUUGAUAUGUGAACCAUGUUGGUUGUAACACUUAGUAUCACAUACUUUGUGUCAAAGUAUGCAUGUUGAAGCUCUGAGUUGGAGUAUAAGGGUAGGUCAGCGUAGACCAAGUGUUCCAGUGCUAGGAAUGCAAAAGACUUAGAAGAAGUUGUUAGAAACCCUUGGGUCAUUCAUCUUCGAGCAUAUGUGGAGGGGAUUCUCUCGACGUUGCUUUAGGAAGUCUCGGCAGUCACGAUAAACGGCUUUCGAUCCUUCCAACCUUUCUGCAAAGAGGUGUCUUCCUCCACUUCUUCUGCUUCGGGUCGAAGCAUCUGGGUUGAGAGACGUCUCAUGUUGAUCAAUGUUUUGAUGAUUAGCUUACUCCUCAUCAGGGAUACCCAUGUCAAAUGUAGGUGACCCUUCGUGUUGGGGGGUACCCAGAUGAUGGUUGAUGUCUACAAGGGCAACGAGCUCGAGUGUUUGAGUACACCUAAUUUCGUGGGCAUCUCAAAGAGCUUCUCAUACUGCUCUUGGAGGACGUCAUUCUUCAUUGCUAUCUUGUUGUUCUGAGCUUCUAGCUCAUCGACUUUAGCUUGAAGAGCAACCAUUUUUCCUUCAUUCUUUCGUUGCUUCGCAUAGGUGCAAGAGGGGUGUCAUUCUGUGUGAUGUGGCUUCCUUCGCUCCCCAUGUUGGAGAGGGAUGCCUGGUCAAAAGAGAGUACGAAUGGUGGAAACCACUUGGCAAAGCUGAAGAGAGUGGGAAUCGUUUGUAAACACAGAAAUUUCCUGCGAUGAACGAGACAAGAAACACGUGUACAAAAUAAUAUUUGUAUUGAUGAUUUAGGGGUUACAAUCU